UCACUCUGGCUUCUAUUCAUUUGUCGAUUAAGUCUUUUGCCUUUUACUAAAGAUUUCCCUGGAGAGGGGCACUCUAAUGAGUCUAAAUUAAAUUUUUAGCCGCGGUUGGCACUGUUGCCAGA